AAAAUUUUCGAUUAAAUAAAUCAGCAUUCCAAUACGUUCUGAAUGAGAUCGCAGAUGAGUUUCCUCCUCAAAAGCAAGGCGGGAUUUCGACAGAAGUAAAACUUGCGGCGUGUCUUCGAUUCUUUGCAGAAGGUAGCUACCAACAUGGCACUGGAAAAGACUUUGACGUGGCAAUAGCGCAACCUACAUUUUCGAAGAUUCUUUCAAACAUGCUUGUCGUUUUGGAGAGGAAAAUCUGUUCAAAAUGGAUAAAUAUAGUAAUGACAGCAGAAGAAAUGAUGGAAGCAAAACGGUUCUUUUUUGAGAAAUCUGGAAUAUCUGGUGUAAUUAUGUGUGUCGAUGGUACUCACAUUAGAAUAAUUCCACCUACGAGCAAUCGCAACCUUUUUUACAAUCGAAAAGGAUUCUACAGCUUGAACGUUAUGAUCAUGUGUGACAACAGUCAGCGGAUUCGUUUUGUUGAUGCUAGUUAUCAAGGAUCAAACCAUGACUCACAUGUUUGGAGAAUGAGUUCUGCUCGAAGUUACAUGAACCAGUUGUACAGGGGAAAGAAAUACAAAAAUUUUGGGUGAUGCUGGUUAUCCUUCUGAGCCUUGGCUGUUAACCCCACACCGUGCACCAGAAGAAGGGAGCGCUGAAAGUAAUUUCAAUAGACGGCACAGCUUGGGAAGAGGCGAACAAUCGGUGUAUUAAAGCGA